GCUACGCGGCGCCCUGACGACGUUACGUUGGAGUAUAAAUGUACCUUUAGUACAUUUAUACUCCAACGUAACGUCGUCGGGCGCCGCGUAGC
rnacentral:pre_miRNA from 1 species